AGGGGGGGGGGUGUAAAAAUGGUGUUGCCAUGUUUUUUUUUUCUUUCUGCGCAAAGCAAGGACAAAAGAACUGUUGAGUUUAUUCUCAGAUAAAAAAAGGAAGUUUCACCGUGUCAACAGAGGCACAAUGUCCUGCGCCAUUCUAGUGACUGAUCUUACAGUUGGCAGGAUCGCGGCUGCAGGCUCUUCAGCCGGGCUAUAUCACUGAGACUUCUUUUAUCCCCUCGCAGUGACCUCUUCCUGUUCUACAAAAGGAUGAGUGUGACAGGGUUCUUGCUCUGCGUACAGGAACAGAGGGAAGAGCUCAGCAUGGGUCUUCCUACCUUUCUCCAGGAACUGCCCAGCAGCCCCGAGCACUUUUCAGAUGUUCAAUUAUUCACCAGGUUUAAUCCAUCGAUGAAGCAGGGUCUCUUGACAACAGCCCAGGUCCUUCAUGCAUGUGUGUUUAUGAGGAGACAUUGUUAACUACACGGCUCUCCUACUAGCUGGUCAAGGACCUCAGCCACUUCAGCUUAUCUCAUUGGCUUCCUAAUCAGACUUACUGGUUAGUUGUCAGAUUUUUCAUCUCAAGAAAUAAAUACUGGGAAAUAAGGAAGUGUGAAGAGAUUGCAGAGGAACAUCAAACCCAGGCUGCCCUCAUCCAUGUCACCGCCGCUCCAC
ensembl:lncRNA